UACAGAGGGGGCAAGCGUUGUUCGGAUUCAUUGGGCGUAAAGGGUGCGUAGGUGGUGAUGCAAGUCUGGUGUGAAAUCUCGGAGCUCAACUCCGAAAUUGCACCGGAUACUGCGUGACUCGAGGACUGUAGAGGAGAUCGGAAUUCACGGUGUAGCAGUGAAAUGCGUAGAUAUCGUGAGGAAGACCAGUGGCGAAGGCGGGUCUCUGGACAGUUCCUGACGCUGAGGCACGAAGGUCAGGGGAGCAAACGGG
rnacentral:rRNA from 1 species